rnacentral:rRNA from 1 species
CUACGGGUCGCUGCAGGUAGGAAUUUUUUGCAAUGCGCGCAAGCGUGACAAAGCGAGCCAGAGUGCUUUUCAAAUGAAAAGCUUUUGCCAAAUGUAAAAAGUUUGGCGAAUAAGGACUGGGUAAGACGAGUGCCAGCCGCCGCGGUAAUACUCGCGGUCCAAGUCGCAGCCAUAUUUAUUGGGUCUAAAACAUCCGUAGCUUGCUUAAUAAGUUCUUUGUGAAAUCUUGUCUCUCAAGGGCAAGGCGUGCGGGGAAUACUGUUUAGCUAGAGACUGGAAGACGUAAAAAGUAUGUUCAAAGUAACGGUAAAAUGUGUUAAUCUUGAACAGACUCACAACAGCGAAGGCAUUUUACGAGGACAGUUCUGACAGUAAAGGAUGAAGGCUAGGGGCGCAAAACGGAUUAGAUACCCCCGUAGUC